ACGCUGGCGGCAGGCUUAACACAUGCAAGUCGAACGGUAACAGGGAUUAGCUUGCUAAUCUGCUGACGAGUGGCGGACGGGUGAGUAAUGCUUGGGAAUCUGGCUUAUGGAGGGGGGUAACUACGGGAAACUGUAGCUAAUACCGCGUAAAAUCUUCGGAUUAAAGGGUGGGACUUUCGAGCCACCUGCCAUAAGAUGAGCCCAAGUGGGAUUAGGUAGUUGGUUAGGUAAAGGCUGACCAAGCCGACGAUCUCUAGCUGGUCUGAGAGGAUGACCAGCCACACUGGAACUGAGACACGGUCCAGACUCCUACGGGAGGCAGCAGUGGGGAAUAUUGCACAAUGGGGGGAACCCUGAUGCAGCCAUGCCGCGUGAAUGAAGAAGGCCUUCGGGUUGUAAAGUUCUUUCGGUGACGAGGAAGGUUGGUAGGUUAAUAGCCUAUCAAAUUGACGUUAAUCACAGAAGAAGCACCGGCUAACUCCGUGCCAGCAGCCGCGGUAAUACGGGGGGUGCGAGCGUUAAUCGGAAUAACUGGGCGUAAAGGGCACGCAGGCGGUGACUUAAGUGAGAUGUGAAAGCCCCGAGCUUAACUUGGGAAUUGCAUUUCAUACUGGGUCGCUAGAGUACUUUAGGGAGGGGUAGAAUUCCACGUGUAGCGGUGAAAUGCGUAGAGAUGUGGAGGAAUACCGAAGGCGAAGGCAGCCCCUUGGGAAUGUACUGACGCUCAUGUGCGAAAGCGUGGGGAGCAAACAGGAUUAGAUACCCUGGUAGUCCACGCUGUAAACGAUGUCGAUUUGGGGAUUGGGCCUUGAGCUUGGUGCCCGUAGCUAACGUGAUAAAUCGACCGCCUGGGGAGUACGGCCGCAAGGUUAAAACUCAAAUGAAUUGACGGGGGCCCGCACAAGCGG
rnacentral:rRNA from 1 species